CAGUCGCCGCGGUAAUACGAAGGGUGCAAGCGUUACUCGGAAUUACUGGGCGUAAAGCGUGCGUAGGUGGUGGUUUAAGUCCGUUGUGAAAGCCCUGGGCUCAACCUGGGAAUUGCAGUGGAUACUGGAUCACUAGAGUGUGGUAGAGGAUAGUGGAAUUUCCGGUGUAGCAGUGAAAUGCGUAGAGAUCGGAAGGAACAUCUGUGGCGAAGGCGACUAUCUGGGCCAACACUGACACUGAGGCACGAAAGCGUGGGGAGCAAACAGGAUUAGAGACCCGUGUAGUCCCUGUCUCUUAUAC
rnacentral:rRNA from 1 species